AGAGUUUGAUCCUGGCUCAGGAUGAACGCUGGCGGCGUGCUUAACACAUGCAAGUCGAGCGAAGCGAUUUAAAUGAGACUUCGGUGGAUUUUAAAUUGACUGAGCGGCGGACGGGUGAGUAACGCGUGGAUAACCUGCCUCACACAGGGGGAUAACAGUUAGAAAUGACUGCUAAUACCGCAUAAGCGCACGGUACCGCAUGGUACAGUGUGAAAAACUCCGGUGGUGUGAGAUGGAUCCGCGUCUGAUUAGGUAGUUGGUGAGGUAACGGCCCACCAAGCCGACGAUCAGUAGCCGACCUGAGAGGGUGACCGGCCACAUUGGGACUGAGACACGGCCCAAACUCCUACGGGAGGCAGCAGUGGGGAAUAUUGCACAAUGGGGGAAACCCUGAUGCAGCGACGCCGCGUGGAGGAAGAAGGUCUUCGGAUUGUAAACUCCUGUUGUUGAGGAAGAUAAUGACGGUACUCAACAAGGAAGUGACGGCUAACUACGUGCCAGCAGCCGCGGUAAAACGUAGGUCACAAGCGUUGUCCGGAAUUACUGGGUGUAAAGGGAGCGCAGGCGGGCGAUCAAGUUGGAAGUGAAAUCCAUGGGCUCAACCCAUGAACUGCUUUCAAAACUGAUUGUCUUGAGUAGUGCAGAGGUAGGCGGAAUUCCCGGUGUAGCGGUGGAAUGCGUAGAUAUCGGGAGGAACACCAGUGGCGAAGGCGGCCUACUGGGCACCAACUGACGCUGAGGCUCGAAAGUGUGGGUAGCAAACAGGAUUAGAUACCCUGGUAGUCCACACCGUAAACGAUGAUUACUAGGUGUUGGAGGAUUGACCCCUUCAGUGCCGCAGUUAACACAAUAAGUAAUCCACCUGGGGAGUACGACCGCAAGGUUGAAACUCAAAGGAAUUGACGGGGGCCCGCACAAGCAGUGGAGUAUGUGGUUUAAUUCGACGCAACGCGAAGAACCUUACCAAGUCUUGACAUCCUGCGGCGAUGCUAGAAAUAGUAUUUUCCUUCGGGACGCAGAGACAGGUGGUGCAUGGUUGUCGUCAGCUCGUGUCGUGAGAUGUUGGGUUAAGUCCCGCAACGAGCGCAACCCUUAUGGUCAGUUACUACGCAAGAGGACUCUGGCCAGACUGCCGUUGACAAAACGGAGGAAGGUGGGGAUGACGUCAAAUCAUCAUGCCCUUUAUGACUUGGGCUACACACGUACUACAAUGGCGUUAAACAAAGAGAAGCAAGACCGCGAGGUGGAGCAAAACUCAGAAACAACGUCCCAGUUCGGACUGCAGGCUGCAACUCGCCUGCACGAAGUCGGAAUUGCUAGUAAUCGCAGAUCAGCAUGCUGCGGUGAAUACGUUCCCGGGCCUUGUACACACCGCCCGUCACACCAUGAGAGCCGGGGGGACCCGAAGUCGGUAGUCUAACCGCAAGGAGGACGCCGCCGAAGGUAAAACUGGUGAUUGGGGUGAAGUCGUAACAAGGUA
rnacentral:rRNA from 1 species